GAUGAAGAACGUAGCGAAAUGCGAUAAGUAAUGUGAAUUGCAGAAUUCAGUGAAUCAUCGAGUCUUUGAACGCACAUUGCGCCCCCUGGUAUUCCGGGGGGCAUGCCUGUCCGAGCGUCAUUGCUGUCCUCAAGCACGGCUUGUGUGUUGGGCCGUCGUCCCCCUCCUAGGGGACGGGCCCGAAAGGCAGCGGCGGCACCGCGUCCGGUCCUCGAGCGUAUGGGGCUUCGUCACCCGCUCCGUAGGCCCGGCCGGCGCUUGCCGACGACCAUCAAUCUCUUUCUCCAGGUUGACCUCGGAUCAGGUAGGGAUACCCGCUGAACUUAAGCAUAUCAAUAAGCGGAGGA
rnacentral:misc_RNA from 1 species